rnacentral:rRNA from 1 species
UGGGGGGAACCCUGAUCCAGCCAUGCCGCGUGUGUGAAGAAGGCCUUUUGGUUGUAAAGCACUUUAAGCGAGGAGGAGGAGCUCUUGGUUAAUACCCAAGAUGCUUGGACGUUACUCGCAGAAUAAGCACCGGCUAACUCUGUGCCAGCAGCCGCGGUAAUACAGAGGGUGCAAGCGUUAAUCGGAUUUACUGGGCGUAAAGCGCGCGUAGGUGGCCAAUUAAGUCAAAUGUGAAAUCCCCGAGCUUAACUUGGGAAUUGCAUUCGAUACUGGUUGGCUAGAGUAUGGGAGAGGAUGGUAGAAUUCCAGGUGUAGCGGUGAAAUGCGUAGAGAUCUGGAGGAAUACCGAUGGCGAAGGCAGCCAUCUGGCCUAAUACUGACACUGAGGUGCGAAAGCAUGGGGAGCAAACAGGAUUAGAUACCCUGGUAGUCCAUGCCGUAAACGAUGUCUACUAGCCGUUGGGGCCUUUGAGGCUUUAGUGGCGCAGCUAACGCGAUAAGUAGACCGCCUGGGGAGUACGGUCGCAAGACUANAACUCA